CCUUGACACAGGCUAAACAUCUUUGGAUCUUAAAAUAACUAAGAUUCAGUUCUCACCAUGCCAUAUCUCAUAGGUGUUGUAGAAACAGAUUUAGAGAGAACUCAAUUCCAUAGAAAUAAAGCAUGUCCCUAAAGAAACAACAAUAAAUUAGUGAAGUCCAUCAUGGAUCGGUCCAUAUCUUAUAUGGACCCAUAACUCUUCUUAAUUAUCUCGUUGAGCUG
rnacentral:lncRNA from 1 species